GGUCUUGCUGUCACUUAUAGAUGGAUCCGCGCUGCAUUAGCUAGUUGGUAAGGUAACGGCUUACCAAGGCAACGAUGCAUAGCCGACCUGAGAGGGUGAUCGGCCACACUGGAACUGAGACACGGUCCAGACUCCUACGGGAGGCAGCAGUAGGGAAUCUUCCGCAAUGGGCGAAAGCCUGACGGAGCAACGCCGCGUGAGUGAUGAAGGUCUUCGGAUCGUAAAACUCUGUUAUUAGGGAAGAACAUAUGUGUAAGUAACUGUGCACAUCUUGACGGUACCUAAUCAGAAAGCCACGGCUAACUACGUGCCAGCAGCCGCGGUAAUACGUAGGUGGCAAGCGUUAUCCGGAAUUAUUGGGCGUAAAGCGCGCGUAGGCGGUUUUUUAAGU
rnacentral:rRNA from 1 species